rnacentral:rRNA from 1 species
AUAGCGUAUAUUAAAGUUGUUGCGGUUAAAAAGCUCGUAGUUGGAUGUCAGUUGCGGGCGGGCGGUCCACCGUUUUGGUGGUUUACUGCUCGUCCCGUGACCUACCAACCGGCCUCCCCCGCUAUGCUCUUUACCGAGUGUGGCGGGUGGCCGGAACUUUUACUUUGAAAAAAUUAGAGUGCUCUAAGCAGGUGCAUGCCGCCUGAAUAACACAGCAUGGAAUAAUGGAAUAGGACCUCGGUUCUAUUUUGUUGGUUUUCGGAAUUCUGAGGUAAUGAUAAAUAGGAACGGAUGGGGGCAUUCGUAUUGCGACGUUAGAGGUGAAAUUCUUGGAUCGUCGCAAGACGGACAUAAG